AGUGAACGCUGGCGGUAGGCCUAACACAUGCAAGUCGAACGGCAGCACAGUAAGAUCUUGCUCUUACGGGUGGCGAGUGGCGGACGGGUGAGGAAUACAUCGGAAUCUACUUUUUCUUGGGGGAUAACGGAGGGAAACUUACGCUAAUACCGCAUACGACCUACGGGUGAAAGCAGGGGAUCUUCGGACCUUUCGCGAUUGAAUGAGCCGAUGUCGGAUUAGCUAGUUGGCGGGGUAAAGGCCCACCAAGGCAACGAUCCGUAGCUGGUCUGAGAGGAUGAUCAGCCACACUGGAACUGAGACACGGUCCAGACUCCUACGGGAGGCAGCAGUGGGGAAUCUUGGACAAUGGGCGCAAGCCUGAUCCAGCCAUACCGCGUGAGUGAAGAAGGCCUUCGGGUUGUAAAGCCCUUUUGUUGGGAAAGAAAAGCAGCAGGUUAAUACCCCGCUGUUCUGACGGUACCCAAAGAAUAAGCACCGGCUAACUUCGUG
rnacentral:rRNA from 1 species